UAAUACGAAGGGUGCAAGCGUUAUUCGGAAUCAUUGGGCGUAAAGGGUGUGUAGACGGUAUAUUAAGUCUGUUGUUAAAUGCUCCAGCCUAACUGGAGACCUGCAAUGGAAACUGAUGUGCUAGAGGGUGGAAGAGAGAAGUGGAAUUCUCGGAGUAGCGGUAAAAUGCGUAGAUCUCGAGAGGAACACCAAUGGCGAAGGCAGCUUCUUAGUCCAUACCUGACGUUGAAACACGAAAGCGUGGGGAGCAAACAGG
rnacentral:rRNA from 1 species